CAGCAGCCACGGUAAUACGAAGGGGGCUAGCGUUGUUCGGAUUUACUGGGCGUAAAGCGCACGUAGGCGGAUCGAUCAGUCAGGGGUGAAAUCCCAGAGCUCAACUCUGGAACUGCCUUUGAUACUGUCGAUCUGGAGUAUGGAAGAGGUGAGUGGAAUUCCGAGUGUAGAGGUGAAAUUCGUAGAUAUUCGGAGGAACACCAGUGGCGAAGGCGGCUCACUGGUCCAUUACUGACGCUGAGGUGCGAAAGCGUGGGGAGCAAACAGGAUUAGAUACCCCCGUAGUCCCUGUCUCUUAUAC
rnacentral:rRNA from 1 species